rnacentral:rRNA from 1 species
GAUGAACGCUGGCGGCGUGCCUAAUACAUGCAAGUCGAGCGAACGGACGAGAAGCUUGCUUUUCUGAUGUUAGCGGCGGACGGGUGAGUAACACGUGGAUAACCUACCUAUAAGACUGGGAUAACUUCGGGAAACCGGAGCUAAUACCGGAUAAUAUUUUGAACCGCAUGGUUCAAAAGUGAAAGACGGUCUUGCUGUCACUUAUAGAUGGAUCCGCGCUGCAUUAGCUAGUUGGUAAGGUAACGGCUUACCAAGGCAACGAUGCAUAGCCGACCUGAGAGGGUGAUCGGCCACACUGGAACUGAGACACGGUCCAGACUCCUACGGGAGGCAGCAGUAGGGAAUCUUCCGCAAUGGGCGAAAGCCUGACGGAGCAACGCCGCGUGAGUGAUGAAGGUCUUCGGAUCGUAAAACUCUGUUAUUAGGGAAGAACAUAUGUGUAAGUAACUGUGCACAUCUUGACGGUACCUAAUCAGAAAGCCACGGCUAACUACGUGCCAGCAGCCGCGGUAAUACGUAGGUGGCAAGCGUUAUCCGGAAUUAUUGGGCGUAAAGCGCGCGUAGGCGGUUUUUUAAGUCUGAUGUGAAAGCCCACGGCUCAACCGUGGAGGGUCAUUGGAAACUGGAAAACUUGAGUGCAGAAGAGGAAAGUGGAAUUCCAUGUGUAGCGGUGAAAUGCGCAGAGAUGUGGAGGAACACCAGUGGCGAAGGCGACUUUCUGGUCUGUAACUGACGCUGAUGUGCGAAAGCGUGGGGAUCAAACAGGAUUAGAUACCCUGGUAGUCCACGCCGUAAACGAUGAGUGCUAAGUGUUAGGGGGUUUCCGCCCCUUAGUGCUGCAGCUAACGCAUUAAGCACUCCGCCUGGGGAGUACGACCGCAAGGUUGAAACUCAAAGGAAUUGACGGGGGCCCGCACAAGCGGUGGAGCAUGUGGUUUGAUUCGAAGCAACGCGAAGAACCUUACCAAAUCUUGACAUCCUUUGACAACUCUAGAGAUAGAGCCUUCCCCUUCGGGGGACAAAGUGACAGGUGGUGCAUGGUUGUCGUCAGCUCGUGUCGUGAGAUGUUGGGUUAAGUCCCGCAACGAGCGCAACCCUUAAGCUUAGUUGCCAUCAUUAAGUUGGGCACUCUAAGUUGACUGCCGGUGACAAACCGGAGGAAGGUGGGGAUGACGUCAAAUCAUCAUGCCCCUUAUGAUUUGGGCUACACACGUGCUACAAUGGACAAUACAAAGGGCAGCGAAACCGCGAGGUCAAGCAAAUCCCAUAAAGUUGUUCUCAGUUCGGAUUGUAGUCUGCAACUCGACUACAUGAAGCUGGAAUCGCUAGUAAUCGUAGAUCAGCAUGCUACGGUGAAUACGUUCCCGGGUCU